AUUGAACGCUGGCGGAAUGCUUUACACAUGCAAGUCGAGCGGCAGCACGGGGGCAACCCUGGUGGCGAGCGGCGAACGGGUGAGUAAUACAUCGGAACAUGCCCAGUCGUGGGGGAUAACACCUCGAAAGAAGUGCUAAUACCGCAUACGUCCUGAGGGGGAAAGCGGGGGAUCGCAAGACCUCGCGCGAUUGGAGUGGCCGAUGUCAGAUUAGCUAGUUGGUGGGGUAAAGGCCUACCAAGGCAACGAUCUGUAGCUGGUCUGAGAGGAUGAUCAGCCACACUGGGACUGAGACACGGCCCAGACUCCUACGGGAGGCAGCAGUGGGGAAUUUUGGACAAUGGGGGCAACCCUGAUCCAGCCAUUCCGCGUGAGUGAAGAAGGCCUUCGGGUUGUAAAGCUCUUUCGGCAGGAACGAAACGGUGAGCUCUAACAUAGCUUGCUAAUGACGGUACCUGAAGAAGAAGCACCGGCUAACUACGUG
rnacentral:rRNA from 1 species